rnacentral:rRNA from 1 species
UGGGGAAUUUUGCGCAAUGGGGGAAACCCUGACGCAGCAAUGCCGCGUGGAGGACGAAGGUCUUCGGAUUGUAAACUCCUUUUGUCGGUGAAAAAUAACCCUGUGAAGAACAGGGAAUGAUUGUAGCCGGCGAAUAAGCCACGGCUAACUUCGUGCCAGCAGCCGCGGUAAGACGAAGGUGGCGAGCGUUACUCGGAAUUACUAGGCGUAAAGCGUGGGCAGGCGGCUUGAUAAGUCUCUUGUGAAAGCC